rnacentral:rRNA from 1 species
UACGUAGGGGGCUAGCGUUGUCCGGAAUCAUUGGGCGUAAAGCGCGCGUAGGCGGCCCGGUAAGUCCGCUGUAAAAGUCCAGGCUCAACCCUGGAACGCCGGUGGAUACUGUCGGGCUAGAGUCCGGAAGAGGCGAGUGGAAUUCCUGGUGUAGCGGUGGAAUGCGCAGAUAUCAGGAGGAACACCUAUGGCGAAGGCAGCUCGCUGGGACGGUACUGACGCUGAGGCGCGAAAGCGUGGGGAGCGAACAGG